rnacentral:rRNA from 1 species
GCAUUAGCUAGUUGGUAAGGUAACGGCUUACCAAGGCAACGAUGCAUAGCCGACCUGAGAGGGUGAUCGGCCACACUGGAACUGAGACACGGUCCAGACUCCUACGGGAGGCAGCAGUAGGGAAUCUUCCGCAAUGGGCGAAAGCCUGACGGAGCAACGCCGCGUGAGUGAUGAAGGUCUUCGGAUCGUAAAACUCUGUUAUUAGGGAAGAACAUAUGUGUAAGUAACUGUGCACAUCUUGACGGUACCUAAUCAGAAAGCCACGGCUAACUACGUGCCAGCAGCCGCGGUAAUACGUAGGUGGCAAGCGUUAUCCGGAAUUAUUGGGCGUAAAGCGCGCGUAGGCGGUUUUUUAAGUCUGAUGUGAAAGCCCACGGCUCAACCGUGGAGGGUCAUUGGAAACUGGAAAACUUGAGUGCAGAAGAGGAAAGUGGAAUUCCAUGUGUAGCGGUGAAAUGCGCAGAGAUAUGGAGGAACACCAGUGGCGAAGGCGACUUUCUGGUCUGUAACUGACGCUGAUGUGCGAAAGCGUGGGGAUCAAACAGGAUUAGAUACCCUGGUAGUCCACGCCGUAAACGAUGAGUGCUAAGUG